rnacentral:rRNA from 1 species
AAUCAGUUAUGGUUCCUUAGAUCGUUCAUACUACAUGGAUAACUGUGGUAAUUCUAGAGCUAAUACAUGCAAAAAGCUCCGACCGUAUGGGAAGAGCGCUUUUAUUAGACCAAAACCAAUGGGGUCGCAAGAUCCCUUUGUAUGGUGACUCUGGAUAACUUUGUGCUGAUCGCAUGGCCUAGAGCCGGCGACGUAUCUUUCAAGUGUCUGCCCUAUCAACUUUCGAUGGUAAGCGAUUUGCCUACCAUGGUUGUAACGGGUAACGGGGAAUCAGGGUUCGAUUCCGGAGAGGGAGCAUGAGAAAUGGCUACCACAUCUACGGAAGGCAGCAGGCGCGCAAAUUACCCACUCCUAGAACGGGGAGGUAGUGACGAAAAAUAACAAUACCGGACUCAAUGAGGCUCGGUAAUUGAAAUGAGUACAGUUUAAAACCCUUAACGAGGAUCUAUUGGAGGGCAAGUCUGGUGCCAGCAGCCGCGGUAAUUCCAGCUCCAAUAGCGUAUAUUAAAGUUGUUGCAGUUAAAAAGCUCGUAGUUGGAUCUCGGGUACUAGCAUGUGGUACGCUUAACUGCUGUUACUACAUGUCUGGUCCUAAUCAACCGGUUGGCCGUUGAUGCCCUUUAUUGGGUGUUUUCGGUAGCCGGUACGUUUACUUUGAGAAAAUUAGAGUGCUUAAAGCAGGCCUUACGCCUGAAUAAUGUUGCAUGGAAUAAUAGAAUAGGACCUCGGUUCUAUUUUGUUGGUUUUGUAGAGCAUUGAGGUAAUGAUUAAUAGGGACAGACGGGGGCA